UACGAAGGGAGCUAGCGUUGUUCGGAAUCACUGGGCGUAAAGCGCACGUAGGCGGAUGUGUCAGUCAGGGGUGAAAUCCCGGAGCUCAACUUCGGAACUGCCUUUGAUACAGCACGUCUUGAGUCCGAUAGAGGUGGGUGGAAUUCCUAGUGUAGAGGUGAAAUUCGUAGAUAUGUGGAGGAACACCGAUGGCGAAGGCAGCCCCCUGGGCUGAGAUUGACGCUCAGGCACGAAAGCGUGGGGAGCAAACAGG
rnacentral:rRNA from 1 species